rnacentral:rRNA from 1 species
GAUGAACGCUGGCGGCGUGCUUAACACAUGCAAGUCGAACGAGAAGUGAAGACGGAAACCUUCGGGCGGAAGGCUUUAUUUCGAGUGGCGGACGGGUGAGUAACGCGUGGGUAACCUGCCUCAUACAGGGGGAUAACAGUUGGAAACGACUGUUAAUACCGCAUAAGACCACAGCACCGCAUGGUGCGGGGGUAAAAACUCCGGUGGUAUGAGAUAGACCCGCGUUCGAUUAGCCAGUUGGCGGGGUAACGGCCCACCAAAGCGACGAUCGAUAGCCGAUCUGAGAGGAUGACCGGCCACAUUGGGACUGAGACACGGCCCAAACUCCUACGGGAGGCAGCAGUGGGGAAUAUUGCACAAUGGGGGAAACCCUGAUGCAGCGACGCCGCGUGAGUGAAGAAGUAUUUCGGUAUGUAAAGCUCUAUCAGCAGGGAAGAAAAUGACGGUACCUGAGUAAGAAGCCCCGGCUAACUACGUG